rnacentral:rRNA from 1 species
AUGGCCGCGACGUCUCCCAAAACGUGGUCGACGCACAGGUCGGUGUUCGCCCAGGGCACGCACCGGUUCGACAUCGUCGGCUACAGCGCGGCACGGGAGGCCCUCGGCGGCUCCGUCCGGUCCGGCAGCUUCAGCGCCGGCGGCUUCCUCUGGGCCAUCAUCUGCCGCCUCCAAGCUCCCAAUCCAGCGGCCGGGCAAUGUGGCCUUGCGUCGAUCUCGCUGGAGCUCUCCAAGAACGACACCUCCAAGGACGUUGUCGCGAUGGCUAGCCUCCGGAUCGACGAAACGAAUGGCACCGGCCAGUCCCCGGCUGCCGUGUGGCGGAGCCAGGAGGCCAAGACCUUCGGCGCUCGGUCCAUGAGCGCCGUCGCCUGGGAGCUCGCCGUCCCAGAGGCGUUCCAGAACCACGAGUCGUGCUACGUCAUCGACGACUGCCUCACCAUACAUUGCACCGUGGAGGUCCUCCAGCAGCAGCUGCAGCAGCAGGACUCCACCGCCAUCAAAAACUGUCUCGUCCUCGUGCCACCGGUGCCGAGCAUCUGUCAGGACUUCUACAACCUUCUCAGGGAGAGGCGGUCACCGGAGCCGGACGUGACCUUCAUCCUCGAGGACGACGGCACCGAGGUCCAGGCGCACAAGUUGCUGCUGGCCAUGCGGUCGCCGGUGUUUUGUGCCCAGUUCCUGCGUGGGGACAUGAAGGAGCGGAACGCGCGACGCCUCAAGAUCAGUGGCCUGACCGCCUCGGCUUUCAAAGCCAUGCUCUAACAUAGCUGCCAGCAGCUGGAGGCAUCCUGCAUCGAGUUCAUGGUGUCUGACCCCGACGUGUACGACACUGUGGAGGCCACUGAGGAGUACAAGGAACUCGAAAAGACAUGCCCCUCUUUUAUAAACGACAUCACCAAGAAAGUAGCCAAGACCGCAGUUUCCCGCCACAGAUCUCCUUCUUCCACCAACAAUGGUAGCAAGAUGACAACGAGAAGCGUGUCAAAGUAUACCCCAUCGGUGAUGAUGAGCGGCACACACGAGUUCACCAUCCAAUGCUUGAGUGCCAUGAGAAAGACGCAUGGUGUGGGUCAGUACAUCCGAUCUGGUAGUUUUCAAGUUGGGGGUUAUGAGUGGACCAUAGAGGUGUUCCCUUCAGGAUAUAAACAGGACAUCACCGAUAGUAUUAGUAUCUACAUCAGGCCCUUCAUUCAUGACGAUGAUACAAAGGUAGAAGCAUCAGUGACUUUAAAGCCCAUUGACCCCACAGGUGAGUUGCCGCCGUUUCCUCGCCGUAAUUUUAUGCACGUCUAUGCUGGCACGAACUGCGAGGGCUGGGGGUGGCCAAAGUUCAUUAUCGCAAAAUAUGCCAACACACACUACGUGGGACAUGACGGCUCUUUCACCGUACAAUGUCAAGUUGAGGUACCUACAGAGUCCCGCACUAGUAGCACCAUCGGGGUAGGCACCGUCAUGACGGUGCCACCGUCAAAUAUGGCAUGGCAUCUCGAGCAACUGUUGGUGAGGGAGGAGGGCUCGGACGUGAAGUUCCUGGUCGAGGACAUUGAGAUCUGCUCCCACGGGCUUGUGAUAGCGACGCGGUCACCAGUACUACACGAGGCGGUGGAAUCAGCUAGCGGCAGAGACCAUGUAAGGAUCGAUGGAAUAAGAGCCAUGGCUUUCAAGGCCAUGCUCCACUUCAUCUACACUGACGAGUUGCCUCGUGUCGAUGACCUAGUCCAUAUGGUCGGAGAUAUCACAACGAUGGCCGGAGAGAUGCUCGUGGCGGCAUGCCGGUUCCGACUGGAGAGGAUGAAGCGGCUGUGCAUAAACUUGCUAGCCGAGAAGGUUACAACCGUGUUGAGUGCACUGAACACGGCGAAGGUGGCACGACGUCACAACUGCCCGGAGCUGGAAGAAUACUCGCACGGGGUUGGCUCGCCUCGUCUCCGAUCUGGAUCAGGCUGCGGAGAAGCCUUGCUGGCGGCACGGCGCCGGUGCCGCUUGGAGAUGGCAAGCUCCAUAGAGUUUGAGGAGGUUAUAUUCCACGUUGUUAUGAUCGACGAGAUCCUGACCGUAUUCGUCCCCUCAUCCAUGGGCUGCAUGUACGCUGCAGUCUCGGUCCUCUUGGUCAGCAAACUCAUGGGCGGAGCUCUCUUCCAAGACUGGAUGCCGUUGUUUCUACUGGCGUGCAGGGCUUGCUUCGUGGUCUCUCUCAUUCUCGUUGUGUGCAUCGCCAUUUGUCGCUUCAUCGUGGCCGGUGCUAUCACCGCGGAGAUGUGCGUGCGGCUGCUGCUAAUGCCACUGGUUGCCUUCCUCGCCUACAGUCUUGCCGUCUACAUAUACUACCUCCACACUUCUGCUGCUCUUGCUGUUGAGAUCUUCUACCAGCACGGCCAGAGAUGA